rnacentral:rRNA from 1 species
UACGUAGGGCGCAAGCGUUGUCCGGAAUUAUUGGGCGUAAAGAGCGUGUAGGCGGCUUUACAGGUCCGCUGUGAAAACUCGAGGCUCAACCUCGAGACGCCGGUGGAAACCGUAAGGCUAGAGUCCGGAAGAGGAGAGUGGAAUUCCUGGUGUAGCGGUGAAAUGCGCAGAUAUCAGGAGGAACACCCGUGGCGAAAGCGGCUCUCUGGGACGGUACUGACGCUGAGACGCGAAAGCGUGGGGAGCGAACAGG